GUCAAAAUAUCACUUUCAUCUAUGUACAUAUAAGAAUUUUCAUUUUCCUACCAUUUGGUACACAGCUUAAGUUGGUAAAAAUUUCAACUAGUUGUAUAGAUAAAUGUGUGUGUAUGUGCACAUACUUAAGCCGCGCAUUCUCUACUGGUAAGCAAACUGCCGCAUUGAGCCGUAACCGUCAAGUUUUGAAGCAAGAGGGUAUUUCUUGUUUAGUUACAAUACAGAUAUUUAGUCUAAGUAUUCCGAGCAACGGUGCCGCAACGGUUUAGAAAGUGUGCUGACAAAUCGAACUAUUUUCUCGAAUAUUGUUUAUUUAAUUUUUAAAACAAACCAUCAUAUCCCGAUUAAUUUUAUUUGUGCGCAUUUUCUUUAAUAUAUGUAAUAUAUAUAUAAAAAUGAGUUGAGAACGAAGUUCGCAGAACUCUUUCACUGUCUUUGCCGAAAUUAGAGCGGGUAAUAUGAGGGUGCACUUUUUGUGACACGUAAUUCGAAAUUACAAAUAUACCAAUAACUUAGAGCCACUUUUGCUUGCCGCUCGGUCAGUGUUUUCACGACUACACUAAAUGUUGAAAGUGUUCCAGGUGAAUGACUCUUUUGAAUGCUAUCGGCUUCCGGUCAAGCCACCCUUUGACUUUCGUCACGACAACAUUGUAAUGUGUACGUGUAAACACACAUUUUUAUGUACAUAUGACUGCUUACAAACAUAGUAGUUAUCGCAAAUGAAAGAACCAUGAACUACGGUGGUGUUUCUUAUGUUUCUGACCAUUCAAGUGAAGCAAAAUUAUUUUUAUUUUUGAUGAAUUAUGGUGCAUAACGCCUAAUAUUGAGGUACAAGUUAAAGGAUCUAACAAAUCUUAAAUUUUAAAUGUGUACUUAUGUAUGUAUGUGUGAGUGCAUUCGUAUUUGUAAUAAAAGUAAUUAUGUUGCUUAAAACUCCCUUUUUUAGCUGCAAUUGCUUAUUGUAACUGUUUAUAGUUACUAUUGUUUCAAAUUCAUUUGUGUCCAUAUAAAUUAUAUGUAAAAAACUCAAAAAAUCAAGAAAGUUCGAAAUCAUAUUUUGUGCAGUGAAGUUACAGUCUUCCUUACUGAGAAUCAAAAAUGGUAUUAUAAUGAUGUGUAAAGGCAAAUACCACAAAAACUAGUCAUAGUUUUUUGAUAGCAACGAAAUUAUAAUCAGAUACAAAUAUGAUCGACCAAAAGGACUGCUAUGCUAAUGCACAAUAUAGUUUAACUGCCAUUAAAAUCACUAGUUUUAAUCGACACAAUAAAAAGCAACGACAGCCUAAACAGUUUCUAUUAUCAAGAAAUCCGUGACUGUAAUCACUCCGAACAACAAUUUUGAAUUUACUUUGAAUUGAAAAUGAGGAUUACUUAUCAACGCACAAUUCUCUUAUACGGCGCAAUUUUCCUGUAUCUCAAAUUAAAUGAGUUUUGUGAUUCCGGUUAAUGUACGCGUAAUCGAUGUCAAUGACAACUCCCCGAUUUGGAUAAGUGCACCAUAUACCGUAACGCUUUCUGAAGUUACUGUAACCGGUACAAGAAUACUACAAGGUGCACAUGCAGAAGACGCAGAUCAACCAGGUCCAUUUUCUACGGUCGAAUAUCAAAUAUUACCCGGGCCGUAUUCGGAUUUUGUCCAGUUUUUGAACCCUCUCGAAGGUACAUUAGUACUAAAAAAGUCGUUGGACUACGAAACUAUGCAAAAUUUUACAGUGAAACUUAGGGCUCAAGAUCAGGGUAGUCCGCCAAAAUAUACGGACACAACACUAAGAGUAGUGAUUACAGAUGCAGAUGACCAAAACCCUAAAUUUCAAUAUAACUCCUACACUGGAGAGCUCCCGAGCGAUGGAGGUCCCGGUGAUUUAAGGUUACGUCCAGAACCCAUAAACGCUGUGGACCAGGAUGAAGGCAUAUGUGCUCCUAUUCAGUAUACAAUUGUUCAAUCACAGGAUACGACAUACUUUCGAAUAAACCCUCAUAGCGGCAUUAUAACAUUACUGACACCCAUUGGCUAUGCGGAUUUAGUUAACGGUGCAACACUAGUGGUGAAGGCAACACAAAUAGACAACGCCGAUCGCUAUGCUUUAACAACCGUUAUGUUAACACGGCAAGGAGUGCGUUCUGAUUUAAGUGCGCUGUCAUUUGUGCAGAAAAAGUUUUUCAUGCGAAUACGCGAAGAUACGGCUGUGGGAAAUCGCAUUUUAGCAUUGCCCUCUAACAAACCGGGAAAACACUUAAAAUAUACAAUAUUGGAUCCUGUAAAUUCUCAAUUUUUUAGUGUGGGUUCAUUGGGUGAAGUUAUAUUAGUUAAGCCUCUCGACUAUGAGAAGAUGACAAAACAUAAUUUUCAAGUAAUGGCAACGGAUGGUUUAACAAAUAUUACUGCAGAUAUAACGAUGGAAGUUAUCGAUGUAAAUGACUGGGAGCCUAGAUUUCGAGAGACACAUUACGAGUUUGUGAUUCCAAAGAACCAGGCUCUUCACUCGUCAUCUGAAUCAUUGGAAGGUGUAAUUAUUGGAAAAGUAGAAGCAGCCGAUGGGGAUCGUAACGACAAACUUGAGCUAUCGUUGAAAGGACAACACGCUGGUCUUUUUGAAAUAGAUACUAAGGGAUGCAUUUACAUGCGUCCUGAGGAGUUACAAGGGCUUAAUGAAUCCACAGUUCAUUUAAUAGCCACAGCAACUGAUUCAGGGAUUCCACCACGUAGUACCUCUGUGCCAGUCACUGUGACCAUGGAAAGACUCGCAAUUGCUCAAACGUCUUGGAGUACCAGUUUCAUAGGAAUGUUAGGCAUAAUCAUAAGUGUAUUUAUUAUUAUUAUUAUAAUUCUCACAUGUUACAUAAUCCACUCAAAAAGCAAACGGCGAAAGGGCACACCACCUUUAGGAAAAAAUCGGGUCCACAGCCACGCACACAGCACAAUGUCUUCCGCAAACUUGGUUACUCACGAAAAAAUUUCCAAUAAUGGUACUGGAACUGUUGUCACGAGCGGCAAUAGUGGAGUUUCUGUACUGCAUAUGAAGCAUGACGGGUCUGGUAACGAAUUUGGAACAUGAAGCUAAGGGUGAUCAGGAGCGUGAUCGGGAAAGACAGCGAGAAAGUUAUGCGGCGACAGUAAGAAGUAUAGUGUCACGAGCCUCUGCCAAUGGGCAGUUGUACGAAGAAGAUGAAAUAGAGAAUGACUCCCUUUCAAACAAGAACAGGGAAUCAGGUAACAACAAUAAAGAAACAGCGUGGGAAGAGUCAAGUAGUUUGCAAAGAGGAGCAACUUCUAUACCAAAUUUAGACUGUAGUAUCGUUAGAGCUUCAAAUCUUC
rnacentral:misc_RNA from 1 species